CACCACAACACACACAGGAAGACGAAGCUGUGCUCAGGUACUGGACACAACACAACACAACACACACAGGAAGCUGUGCUCAGGUACUGGACACACCACAACACACACAGGAAGACAAAGCUGUGCUCAGGUACUGGACACAACACACACAGGAAGACAAAGCUGUGCUCAGGUACUGGACACAACACAACACACACAGGAAGACAAAGCUGUGCUCAGGUACUGGACACACCACAACACACACAGGAAGACAAAGCUGUGCUCAGGUACUGGACACAACACAACACACACAGGAAGACAAAGCUGUGCUCAGGUACUGGACACAACACAACACACACAGGAAGACAAAGCUGUGCUCAGGUACUGGACACAACACAACACACACAGGAAGACAAAGCUGUGCUCAGGUACUGGACACACCACAACACACACAGGAAGACAAAGCUGUGCUCAGGUACUGGACACACCACAACACACACAGGAAGACAAAGCUGUGCUCAGGUACUGGACACAACACAACACACACAGGAAGACAAAGCUGUGCUCAGGUACUGGACACAACACAACACACACAGGAAGACAAAGCUGUGCUCAGGUACUGGACACAACACAACACACACAGGAA